UACGUAGGUGGCAAGCGUUAUCCGGAAUUACUGGGCGUAAAGCGCACGCAGGCGGUCUUUUAAGUUUGACGUGAAAGCUCCCGGCUUAACUGGGAGAGGUCGUUGAAUACUGGAAGACUUGAGGAAAUGAGAGGGGUGUAGAAUUCCUGGUGUAGUGGUGGAAUGCGUAGAUAUCAGGAGGAAUACCAGUGGCGAAAGCGGCACCCUAGCAUUUUUCUGACGCUCAUGUUGCGAAAGCGUGGGGAGCGAACGGG
rnacentral:rRNA from 1 species